rnacentral:rRNA from 1 species
CAGCCGUAAACUAAUGCGCGUUAGGUGUAUCGGUGACCACGAGUUACCGAGGUGCCGAAGGGAAACCGUGAAACGUGCCGCCUGGGAAGUACGGUCGCAAGGCUGAAACUUAAAGGAAUUGGCGGGGGGAGCACCACAACAGGUGGAGCCUGCGGUUUAAUUGGACUCAACGCCGGGAAGCUCACCGGAUAGGACAGCAGAAUGAUUGCCGGGCUGAAGACCCUGCAUGACUAGCUGAGAGGAGGUGCAUGGCGUAGACGUCU